GGGGGGAGGCCAGAUCCUGGGCUGUGUCCCGGCGCCCUGUGUUCCCAGGCCUGCGCUGUUGGAUUCGGGUUCCCGCCCCGCAGUCCCCU
rfam:Canis lupus familiaris chromosome 15, whole genome shotgun sequence.